AGCUCGGUAGCUUAGUUGGUAAAGCACUCUUCUAACUUACAAGUGGCGUUGGUUCAAAUCCCACCUGAACAA
rnacentral:tRNA from 1 species